rnacentral:rRNA from 1 species
GACGAACCGUGCAAACGUUAUUCGGAAUCACUGGGCUUAAAGGGUGCGUAGGCGGGUUGCCAAGUCUGUGGUGAAAUCCUUCAGCUUAACUGGAGAACUGCCGUGGAUACUGGCGACCUCGAGGGGUGUAGGGGCUUGCGGAACUGUGCGUGGAGCGGUGAAAUGCGUUGAUAUGCACAGGAACUCCGGUGGCGAAAGCGGCGAGCUGGACACCUUCUGACGCUGAGGCACGAAAGCUAGGGGAGCGAACGGG